rnacentral:rRNA from 1 species
UACAGAGGUCUCAAGCGUUGUUCGGAUUCAUUGGGCGUAAAGGGUGCGUAGGCGGCGCGGUAAGUCGGGUGUGAAAUCUCGGAGCUUAACUCCGAAACUGCAUUCGAUACUGCCGUACUUGAGGACUGGAGAGGAGACUGGAAUUUACGGUGUAGCGGUGAAAUGCGUAGAUAUCGAGAGGAACACCGGUGGCGAAGGCGGCCAACUGGACGAAUACUGACGCUGAGACUCGAAAGCGUGGGGAGCAAACAGG